UGAAAUAAUAAUAAGGUGUUGUCACUUAGGGGGUGGUUGUUGUAGUUUUGGCAAUUUCGGCAUACCAGCGUUACAGUAAUGCCUACUCUAUUUAUUACAAUUUCCUUUCUGGGCAAAAUAGAACAAAAAAUGUAGCAGACAACAAUCUUGUGAAAAAAGUAAGCGUAGGUAUCACUAUUUCUUUGAGUCUCCUUUUCUCUGACUUUUCGUUUCAAAUUUAUUGGAAAAUCUGAGCGAUAGUUUGCAAUAAUUGUGAUUUUGUUGAGCUAUUAUCCCGCAAAAAGCAGCGAUUUAUUCAAGAUAAUUCCAGGUUUUUAGAACAGCACCUUUUAAGUUUUAGAGCUGGCUACAGUUGUUUAUUGGGGCAGUGUCUCAUCAGCGGCGCUACCAACAGCGGUGUUAUAAGCAAGUUCCAGAUUUUUGGAGCAGUGUCUCGCCAAGCUGCGCUACCAGCAGCGUUUUAAUAAGCAAGUUCCAGAUUUUUGGAGUAGUGCACACCAGCAGCAUCAUCACCUUCUACAACUAGGGAUUUUUCA